rnacentral:rRNA from 1 species
GACGAACGCUGGCGGCGUGCUUAACACAUGCAAGUCGAACGGAAAGGCCCUGCUUGCAGGGCACUCGAGUGGCGAACGGGUGAGUAACACGUGGGUGAUCUGCCCUGCACUUCGGGAUAAGCCUGGGAAACUGGGUCUAAUACCGGAUAGGAGCCAUUUUUAGUGUGAUGGUUGGAAAGUUUUUUCGGUGUAGGAUGAGCUCGCGGCCUAUCAGCUUGUUGGUGGGGUAAUGGCCUACCAAGGCGGCGACGGGUAGCCGGCCUGAGAGGGUGGACGGCCACAUUGGGACUGAGAUACGGCCCAGACUCCUACGGGAGGCAGCAGUGGGGAAUAUUGCACAAUGGGCGCAAGCCUGAUGCAGCGACGCCGCGUGGGGGAUGACGGCCUUCGGGUUGGAAACUCCUUUCGCUAGGGACGAAGCUUUUUGUGACGGUACCUAGAUAAGAAGCACCGGCUAACUACGUG